AAAUUGAAGAGUUUGAUCAUGGCUCAGAUUGAACGCUGGCGGCAGGCCUAACACAUGCAAGUCGAGCGGUAGCACAGAGAGCUUGCUCUCGGGUGACGAGCGGCGGACGGGUGAGUAAUGUCUGGGAAACUGCCUGAUGGAGGGGGAUAACUACUGGAAACGGUAGCUAAUACCGCAUAACGUCGCAAGACCAAAGUGGGGGACCUUCGGGCCUCAUGCCAUCAGAUGUGCCCAGAUGGGAUUAGCUAGUAGGUGGGGUAACGGCUCACCUAGGCGACGAUCCCUAGCUGGUCUGAGAGGAUGACCAGCCACACUGGAACUGAGACACGGUCCAGACUCCUACGGGAGGCAGCAGUGGGGAAUAUUGCACAAUGGGCGCAAGCCUGAUGCAGCCAUGCCGCGUGUAUGAAGAAGGCCUUCGGGUUGUAAAGUACUUUCAGCGGGGAGGAAGGCGAUAAGGUUAAUAACCUUGUCGAUUGACGUUACCCGCAGAAGAAGCACCGGCUAACUCCGUGCCAGCAGCCGCGGUAAUACGGAGGGUGCAAGCGUUAAUCGGAAUUACUGGGCGUAAAGCGCACGCAGGCGGUCUGUCAAGUCGGAUGUGAAAUCCCCGGGCUCAACCUGGGAACUGCAUUCGAAACUGGCAGGCUAGAGUCUUGUAGAGGGGGGUAGAAUUCCAGGUGUAGCGGUGAAAUGCGUAGAGAUCUGGAGGAAUACCGGUGGCGAAGGCGGCCCCCUGGACAAAGACUGACGCUCAGGUGCGAAAGCGUGGGGAGCAAACAGGAUUAGAUACCCUGGUAGUCCACGCCGUAAACGAUGUCGAUUUGGAGGUUGUGCCCUUGAGGCGUGGCUUCCGGAGCUAACGCGUUAAAUCGACCGCCUGGGGAGUACGGCCGCAAGGUUAAAACUCAAAUGAAUUGACGGGGGCCCGCACAAGCGGUGGAGCAUGUGGUUUAAUUCGAUGCAACGCGAAGAACCUUACCUGGUCUUGACAUCCACAGAACUUAGCAGAGAUGCUUUGGUGCCUUCGGGAACUGUGAGACAGGUGCUGCAUGGCUGUCGUCAGCUCGUGUUGUGAAAUGUUGGGUUAAGUCCCGCAACGAGCGCAACCCUUAUCCUUUGUUGCCAGCGGUCCGGCCGGGAACUCAAAGGAGACUGCCAGUGAUAAACUGGAGGAAGGUGGGGAUGACGUCAAGUCAUCAUGGCCCUUACGACCAGGGCUACACACGUGCUACAAUGGCAUAUACAAAGAGAAGCGACCUCGCGAGAGCAAGCGGACCUCAUAAAGUAUGUCGUAGUCCGGAUUGGAGUCUGCAACUCGACUCCAUGAAGUCGGAAUCGCUAGUAAUCGUAGAUCAGAAUGCUACGGUGAAUACGUUCCCGGGCCUUGUACACACCGCCCGUCACACCAUGGGAGUGGGUUGCAAAAGAAGUAGGUAGCUUAACCUUCGGGAGGGCGCUUACCACUUUGUGAUUCAUGACUGGGGUGAAGUCGUAACAAGGUAACCGUAGGGGAACCUGCGGU
rnacentral:rRNA from 1 species